rnacentral:tRNA from 1 species
UGCGGCGCUGAGCGAUGCCUCGGUCGGCACCGUGUUCGCGCCGCGGCCCGAGCGCAUGUCGGCACGCCGGUUCUGGGUUCGGCACGCCGCGG